ACACAAUAAUGUGCAACGUCCAAAUGAGUCCCCUUGGCAGCUUUGGUUCCUACUAGUAGACAGCGCCAUCUUCUGGAGCUUUUAACCACAAGUUUAUUUUUCACUACAAGUGAACGAUAAAUGUUAAAAUAUAAACUUGGCAGUUUGUAAAGAAAAAAAAACAGCCCGUCGGUGACUGUAAAUGGCGUUAAGUUCAUUUCGUUGCAAGUUCCGGGAAACGUCCGUCGACCUUCUCACGGAUGUUCUCAUCGACCUCAACAACAGAAACAAGGACCAACUCAACUCUGUGUCAACGUGUAACCACAACCUCAGAGAUAAAAGAGUGACGGAGUACAUCCUCCUGAUCACUGAGGAACUGAGACUUGAUCCUCUGGUUGGAUACCAUGCCGUUGAAUUACUUCAAAGGUUCAUGGUCAAGCACCUGACAGAUCUGCUCACCUCGCACACGCCUCAAGACGCAGCUGCCGAUCGGCCAACGAGACACGAGGAUGCUAUCUUCGACGAGAUCAAGGAGAAAUUCCCCAUCAUCGUUUUCUCCUGUGUGCAACUCGCGAGCAAACUGUCUUUGCACAGUCACAUAAUCACAAACUCGACUGCAGUGCACUUUCUGCAUUCGGUCGGCCUCAGCGUCUCCAAGCAGACCCUCUUUGAAUCAGAGAUGAUGAUCUUGAAAGGACUUGAAUUCAGACUAAAUUCCCCAAAUCCUCUGACGUACGUGGAAUCACUUCUGGAGGUCCUCGGACACAAUGAGCCGUGCGUCCCUGUGGAGCGGCUGCACGACUUGUGCCGCCACGUUCUUCAGUUUGUCAGUCUAGAGAGGACUGACGUCUACGACUCACUGCUGAAGACCACCACUCAGUGUGUCAGCCCGUCCAGAGAACAGAGUAUCAUCCUCCAUUUUGUGAACUCUGGCUUCUCAAACUUGUUCGCCUGCACCGUCGACCGACACAGACACACUGAAGACGCACAACCAUUGUUCUUUGCAGAGAGAAGUUUGCGACAGUGACUGAAGACUGCAUGCUUCUUGGUGUUGUUGUCAUCGCCGUGGCUACCUUCAUCUUCUCCGUCACAAAAUGGGAACAGGUUGUGGAAGAGCUGAGCCAUAUCACAGGAAUCUCAAGCAGGAGCAUCCACGACUUCGCUCACGUGAUACUCACACAUAUUGUUCGACCCAGUUCUCAGUGAACACGGCGUUGUACUGUCACUGUUUACUGUGGACUUUGUGUCUUAGUUGUAGAUGUUGGGGCAGAACAUGGAUCACGCAUCCUAGUGACAUGUUUGACAUAAGAAACAGGGACUUCACUGCAAUUUAACAAAAUGUUGACAAAAGAAAAAAAUACUCACCUGUUUGUCAGUGACUGACAUGUUUAAGAUUAUUUUGAUUGUGAAUUCUAUAAAACCAUAUAUGUCAGUGCAGAUUACUUUCUAAAUCUUGUUUAGCAAUUAACACUUGACACUCUGUAAAAUGUAAUAUAUAUUCUGCAUUAAACAAUAACUUAACCUCAA